UUGACCUCGAAUCAGGUAGCU
rnacentral:rRNA from 1 species